rnacentral:rRNA from 1 species
AGCUCCAAUAGCGUAUAUUAACGUUGUUGCUGUUAAACAGCUCGUCCUUUUCUCUCGUCCUCCAGGGGGCGGUUCGCUCCAAAGCGUGACUGCCCCAUUUGGCUGUGUGAUUGGCGGAGGUUCCGGGGUGCUCUUCGUUGAGUGUCCCGGUGCGCCGUCAGGUUUACUUUGAAAAAAUUAGAGUGCUCAAAGCAGGCUUUUCAGGCUUGAAUAUUCGUGCAUGGAAUAAUGGAAUAGGAACUCGUUCCUAUUUUGUUGGUUUUCGGGAAUCGAGUUAAUGAUUAAUAGGGACAAUUGGGGGCAUUAGUAUUCAAACGACAGAGGUGAAAUUCUUGGACCGUUUGAAGACUAACUACUGCGAAAGCAUUUGCCAAGAGUGUUUUCA